UACGGGGGGGGCAAGCGUUGUUCGGAAUUACUGGGCGUAAAGGGCUCGUAGGCGGCCAACUAAGUCAGACGUGAAAUCCCUCGGCUUAACCGGGGAACUGCGUCUGAUACUGGAUGGCUUGAGUUUGGGAGAGGGAUGCGGAAUUCCAGGUGUAGCGGUGAAAUGCGUAGAUAUCAGGAGGAACACCAAUUGCGAAGGCAGCUCGCUGGGACGUUACUGACGCUGAGACGCGAAAGCGUGGGGAGCAAACAGG
rnacentral:rRNA from 1 species